rnacentral:rRNA from 1 species
GACGAACGCUGGCGGCGUGCUUAACACAUGCAAGUCGAACGGUGAAGGGACUGGUUUUGCUGGUCCUGGAUGAGUGGCGAACGGGUGAGUAACACGUGAGUAACCUGCCCCCUUCUUCUGGAUAACCGCAUGAAAGUGUGGCUAAUACGGGAUAUUCUGGGUCUGUCGCAUGGUGGGCCUGGGAAAGAUUGCGCCUUUUUUGGUGUUUUUGGUGGGGGAUGGGCUCGCGGCCUAUCAGCUUGUUGGUGGGGUGAUGGCCUACCAAGGCGGUGACGGGUAGCCGGCCUGAGAGGGUGGACGGUCACACUGGGACUGAGACACGGCCCAGACUCCUACGGGAGGCAGCAGUGGGGAAUAUUGCACAAUGGGCGUAAGCCUGAUGCAGCGACGCCGCGUGAGGGAUGGAGGCCUUCGGGUUGUGAACCUCUUUCGCCAGUGAAGCAGGCCUGCCUCUUUUUGUGGGUGGGUUGACGGUAGCUGGAUAAGAAGCGCCGGCUAACUACGUG